UACAGAGGGUGCAAGCGUUAAUCGGAUUUACUGGGCGUAAAGCGUGCGUAGGCGGCUAUUUAAGUCGGAUGUGAAAGCCCUGGGCUUAACCUGGGAACUGCAUUCGAUACUGGGUAGCUGGAGAUCGGUAGAGGGCGGCGGAAUUCCGGGUGUAGCGGUGAAAUGCGUAGAUAUCCGGAGGAACACCGAUGGCGAAGGCAGCCGCCUGGGCCUGAUCUGACGCUGAGGCACGAAAGCGUGGGGAGCAAACAGG
rnacentral:rRNA from 1 species